rnacentral:rRNA from 1 species
ACGUAGGUCACAAGCGUUGUCCGGAAUUACUGGGUGUAAAGGGAGCGCAGGCGGGUAUGCAAGUUGGAAGUGAAAUACAUGGGCUCAACCCAUGAACUGCUUUCAAAACUGUGUAUCUUGAGUAGUGCAGAGGUAGGCGGAAUUCCCGGUGUAGCGGUGGAAUGCGUAGAUAUCGGGAGGAACACCAGUGGCGAAGGCGGCCUACUGGGCACCAACUGACGCUGAGGCUCGAAAGUGUGGGUAGCAAACAGGAUUAGAUACCCUGGUAGUCCACACCGUAAACGAUGAUUACUAGGUGUUGGAGGAUAGACCCCUUCAGUGCCGCAGUUAACACAAUAAGUAAUCCACCUGGGGAGUACGACCGCAAGGUUG